rnacentral:rRNA from 1 species
CCUGUAGUGGGGGAUAGCCCGGCGAAAGCCGGAUUAAUACCGCAUACGAUCUGAGGAUGAAAGCGGGGGACCUUCGGGCCUCGCGCUAUAGGGUUGGCCGAUGGCUGAUUAGCUAGUUGGUGGGGUAAAGGCCUACCAAGGCGACGAUCAGUAGCUGGUCUGAGAGGACGACCAGCCACACUGGGACUGAGACACGGCCCAGACUCCUACGGGAGGCAGCAGUGGGGAAUUUUGGACAAUGGGCGAAAGCCUGAUCCAGCAAUGCCGCGUGUGUGAAGAAGGCCUUCGGGUUGUAAAGCACUUUUGUCCGGAAAGAAAUCCUUGGUUCUAAUAUAGCCGGGGGAUGACGGUACCGGAAGAAUAAGCACCGGCUAACUACGUGCCAGCAGCCGCGGUAAUACGUAGGGUGCAAGCGUUAAUCGGAAUUACUGGGCGUAAAGCGUGCGCANGCGGNUUGCUAAGACCGAUGUGAAAUCCCCGGGCUC